UACGUAGGGGGCAAGCGUUGUCCGGAAUCAUUGGGCGUAAAGCGCGUGUAGGCGGUCCGGUAAGUCCGCUGUGAAAGUCGGGGGGCUCAACCCUCGGAUGCCGGUGGAUACUGUCGGGCUUGAGUACGGAAGAGGCGAGUGGAAUUCCUGGUGUAGCGGUGAAAUGCGCAGAUAUCGGGAGGAACACCAGUGGCGAAGGCGGCGAUCUGGGUCGAGUACGUGACGCUGAGGUGCGAAAGCGUGGGGAGCAAACAGG
rnacentral:rRNA from 1 species